rnacentral:rRNA from 1 species
GAGUUUGAUCGUGGCUCAGAAUUGAACGCUGGCGGCAUGCCUUACACAUGACAAGUCGAACGGUAACAGGUCUUCGGAUGCUGACGAGUGGCGAACGGGUGAGUAAUACAUCGGAAACGUGCCCGAUCGUGGGGGAUAACGAAGCGAAAGCUUUGCUAAUACCGCAUACGAUCUACGGAUGAAAGCAGGGGACCGCAAGGCCUUGCGCGAACGGAGCGGCCGAUGGCAGAUUAGGUAGUUGGUGGGAUAAAAGCUUACCAAGCCGACGAUCUGUAGCUGGUCUGAGAGGACGACCAGCCACACUGGGACUGAGACACGACCCAGACUCCUACGGGAGGCAGCAGUGGGGAAUUUUGGACAAUGGGCGAAAGCCUGAUCCAGCCAUGCCGCGUGCAGGAUGAAGGCCUUCGGUUGUAACUGCUUUGUUACGGAACG